rnacentral:lncRNA from 13 species
CACUGCAGCCUUUCUGCAGCUGACAGACUUGAAUUCAAGAGGACGGGAAAGGGCUCCUAAUAUUUCCAUCUGAAGCGAUAUCGCUGAAAUUUCAUAGACAAGCCUUGGAGUCAUGCACAUAUCUUUCGGAUGUCUCAGAAGCACAACAGCUAUUCACAGCUCCUCUGAGAACAGACAGGGAGUUUGUAGGCUGGAGUGCAAUGGUGCAAUCUCGGCUCACUGCAACCUCCGCCUCCCCAGUUCAAAACACAGUGACUGUCAAACUUGACAUGCUUCCUGUGUAGAAGAGUGUGGUAGAACCUGAGAGGAGAGAGGGUUGG